rnacentral:lncRNA from 1 species
CAGGCUCAUCAGCUCUCACCUGAUUCUAAAGAGACAUUGGAAGUGAAAUAAAGGAAGAGGAUCGUUGAGCCAAGAAUCACAUGCAUAGAGUUAAACAACUGUCUAGAUGUCAGGACAGAUGUGACCUGAAGAACUGAGGCAAAUUUCUUACCUCACCCAGGAUUCAUAUUUCUCCCAGUUCAUCUAUUGAAAAUGGUUCCUAUUGCCCAAUAAUACUAUAUUGAUUAAAAUAAUGACUACAAAUACUCUUGCCUGUGCAUAAGAUGGAGCGGAUGUAAAAGAAAAGUUCAGUGUCAUUAUUUAUCUCACUAUAGUUUCUCAACAUAUUUGCGUCUUAAGCAAUAAGGCCAGAGGAGUACCAUAGGAAACACCCCUGCCACUUAAUCGAUGCUGAGCCCUUGCACAUAAGUCAAAGAUGCGCUCAAGUUUUCCAAAUUAAGAAGAACUGACGUCAAGAACUGGCUUGAUUUCUAACUUGUUUCACACCCUGUUG